GACGAACGCUGGCGGCGUGCUUAACACAUGCAAGUCGAACGGAAAGGCCUGCUUUCCCUUGUGGAUUGCGGGUACUCGAGUGGCGAACGGGUGAGUAACACGUGAGUGAUCUGCCCCCAACUUGGGUAUAAGCCUGGGAAACUGGGUCUAAUUCCCGAUAGGACUGCAGGGUGGUGCCUGUGGUGGAAAACGAUUUUCUAGUGGUUGGGGAUGAGCUCGCGGCCUAUCAGCUUGUUGGUGGGGUAAUGGCCUACCAAGGCGGCGACGGGUAGCCGGCCUGAGAGGGUGGACGGCCACAGUGGGACUGAGAUACGGCCCAGACUCCUACGGGAGGCAGCAGUGGGGAAUAAGGCACAAUGGGCGGAAGCCUGAUGCAGCGACGCCGCGUGGGGGAUGACGGCCGUCGGGUUGUAAACUCCUUUCGACCGCGAGGAAGCCACCUGGUUGGAAGGGUGGUGACGGUAGUGGUAGAAGAAGCACCGGCUAACUACGUG
rnacentral:rRNA from 1 species